AUACUACUCCCUCCGUUCGGAAUUACUUGUCACAAAAAUGGAUGUAUCUACAACUAAACUACAUCUAGAUAUAUUCAUUUCUUGGACAAGUAAUUCUGAACGGAGGGAGUACUUG
rfam:Triticum aestivum genome assembly, contig: Triticum_aestivum_CS42_TGACv1_scaffold_500387_6BL